rnacentral:rRNA from 1 species
CCUAGGGCGGCAGCAGUGGGGAAUAUUGGACAAUGGGCGAAAGCCUGAUCCAGCCAUGCCGCGUGUGUGAAGAAGGCCUUCGGGUUGUAAAGCACUUUCAGUGGGGAAGAAAGCCUUGGGGCUAAUACCCUCGAGGAAGGACAUCACCCACAGAAGAAGCACCGGCUAACUCCGUGCCAGCAGCCGCGGUAAUACGGAGGGUGCGAGCGUUAAUCGGAAUUACUGGGCGUAAAGCGCGCGUAGGCGGUCUGAUAAGCCGGUUGUGAAAGCCCCGGGCUCAACCUGGGAACGGCAUCCGGAACUGUCAGGCUAGAGUGCAGGAGAGGAAGGUAGAAUUCCCGGUGUAGCGGUGAAAUGCGUAGAGAUCGGGAGGAAUACCAGUGGCGAAGGCGGCCUUCUGGACUGACACUGACGCUGAGGUGCGAAAGCGUGGGUAGCAAACAGGAUUAGAUACCCCAGUAGUC